rnacentral:rRNA from 1 species
GGGCCCGCACAAGCAGCGGAGCAUGUGGUUUAAUUCGAAGCAACGCGAAGAACCUUACCUAGACUUGACAUCUCCUGCAUUACCUCCAAAAAGGGAAAUCCCUUCGGGGACAGGAUGACAGGUGGUGCAUGGUUGUCGUCAGCUCGUGUCGUGAGAUGUUGGGUUAAGUCCCGCAACGAGCGCAACCCCUAUUGUUAGUUGCUACCAUUAAGUUGAGCACUCUAGCGAGACUGCCCGGGUUAACCGGGAGGAAGGUGGGGAUGACGUCAAAUCAUCAUGCCCCUUAUGUCUAGGGCUACACACGUGCUACAAUGGCAAGUACAACGAGAUGCAAGACCGCGAGGUGGAGCUAACCUAUAAAACUUGUCUCAGUUCGGAUUGUAGGCUGAAACUCGCCUACAUGAAGCUGGAGUUGCUAGUAAUCGCGAAUCAGAAUGUCGCGGUGAAUACGUUCCCGGGCCUU